ACACCACACCUGACAGCAGGGCAGCUUGGAAUGUUCUGGUACAACACCGGCUCUCCACCCACCCAAAACCAGUCAUCACCCAGGAGAAACCACUCUUUGUAUUGGACUGGAAUCUGCUGAGAGGAUCUGGGAAGUGAGAUGUCCCAGGAGAGGGCAUAGCCCAA